UCCUUCCUAAAAACUUCUAACUUCCCUCCUCCCACCACGUUCCUAAAAACCUCUAAUCUCCCUCCUCACGACCAACUCUAACCUAAUUCUGUCCCUCCUUCCUCCCAUAACAUGGAAAGAGGCUGGAUUUGGGUAAUUCUAUGUUUGAAUCAAUGGGUUGAGGGUUUGGAGGUUUGGUCUUUGUGGUCUCCGCGGUACCGAAGGCGAAGACGCGUGAGGAUGUUAAAGGUGGGCGGUUUAAGUUUUUGGCUGAAAGUGGGGGUCUGAGUACCAUGGAUGUUCUCUGUCAGGUACGGUUUUACAUGUGGUUGAUUUUAUUUUUGUAAAAAUAACUUGUUUGUUUGCUUUGGUAUUCAUAGGCAAUUCAAUAUAUGCCUAUUGUUGAUGAUGAUUAAUUCAAGGUUUUAUGUGCAUUCCCUCAUGUGAUUUUGAUUGUAAUAAAAUGUUGUUUGUUUAGAGUUGUAGAGUUUAACCACAUUCAUAAGCUCUAUUCAGGGGAGGAAAUUGUUUAACUGAUUGUGUACUUAAUUUGUUGAACAGAUUUGUGGCACUAAAAAAAGAUAUAGAAUCACAGAGAAACUUUAUUAUUGAAUGUAUAGGGGGCUCUCUUAUUUUGUACAGAGGUAGAAGAACGAUGGCAAGGGAAGAAGAAAAAGAGGAAUUAUUGGCCUUUUCUCACUUGGAUGAGCUUGUUCAGGCUUCUUCGGUACAGUUAUUUUGGGCUUCUUGUUUUCGAUAUAUCUUGUAGUUCAUGCCCUUAUAGUGAUCAAAGAAGGUUUAUGAAACCUAACUUAAUAUGCAGGACUCAAAUUUGAACCUACAGGAUGGUGUAACCUUAAAAAUUUUUAUUGAAUGCCAAAGUCUUCAAGUGUAUUGCAAGUUUAGCAACUAAGGUGUGUUAACAGCAGGUGUAUUUUUCAAGUGUCGGGCUGUAUUUUGGUUGGCUUUUAUAUUGAACCGGUAAAGUUUUUAGGAAGUCGCUGAAAUUUUUGGUUGGUUGUCGGCACUUGAUCGUCUCAUUACAUCAUUUUUUGACAUGGAUAAGCUGGCUAGUUGAUUGUUUAAGUACUUGUUUAAUAUUUUAGUCUUCGUAGUAUACCGUAUUUGUCUGUCCAGUAUCGGCUUCAAUUUAUGUUAUUAAUCGUAUAAUGUGACUUCAGAUGCUAGUAAUUGAAUGCUGAUACACUUUUGAAAUUCUUGUUUUGUAUAAAUUGGAAUAAUGCCCAGAUGCUUUUUAAUACUUAAGCAAGUGUCAUGAUUUGUUUAACACUAAGUUUGACACUAAGAUUUCUCUUUUGGGUAUAGGUGGAGUUCAAGUUGUAAACCUGAGCGGCUGAGCAUGUGAAACUAUGCAUUUGUAGAGAUUUUUUUAAGGAUUAAGUAAUCUUAUCUGAUGCUAACAAUUGAAUUUAUUUAUUUUAGUUACCUGAAAGAACCCUCAAUCAGUGUGACGAUGAUAUUGGAACUACCAUGAAAAAGGCAUAGUUAAGGGAGGCAAAGUUGUAUACAUAGAUGCGGAUAUUGAUAGAAUACGUGAAGAGUGUUUGAGUUAUUGGGCAUUGUUUGUUUUUAAGUGACUAUUAUAGAUGUUGAAGUAUGUAUGUCAAUUAAUAUUUUUUUAGUCUAAGAUAUUUGUAAUAUAUUUGACAUGACUAUGAAAUGAAUUGUUUUGUUUUGUUU